GCCAGUGCUGCGAGCGGCUGCAUCCAUGUCUUGGCUAGGCCACAGGGAGGUGAGGGCAGCCUUUGGGCCAGUAGCAAAGAAUGAGCUUUCCUGCCUGCUGCUGGACACCCACGCACGAUACCCCAGUGGCAGCAGCCCCGGAACGAUCAGCAGUCCCAGAUCUGCUAAGCGUGCCACAGCCUGCCAGACCUUUGAAGACCACCGCCAAGAACGAGGGAGCAGCAUCUUCAGACCCUCCACGGUGCAGCCUGGCCUAGGACUCAGGAUCACCCCCAGACCGCUGGCAGAGACCCACCCCCUGCUUCACACUGUUUAAGUCCCUAAGGAAUUCCCAAGCACCUCCUCGGAGGAAGAUUACAGAAGCCUGGACACCUGCAGCCCUGCGGGCAGGGCCAAGGGCGUCUUUGACCAAAAUGGACAAACUGGGCCCUCUGAGGCCUCUCCCUUCACCUUUGAGCAUGGCAUCAUGGAUAAUUUUUUUGAUUUCCGAGGCAGCUCAGGUGUGCACCAGCAGGCACACUUGCCCCUCGGAGAGUUGGGCAAGAUGCUGUUUUGGGGCAAGGACAUUGCACUGUUGGAGCAUGGGUGCCAGGCCCUUGAGGUGAACAGUUACAAGUCCCUGAUGAUCCGAGGUAUCCCGGAAGACUGAAAUCAUGAGAAGUUUGAAGAGAUCAUAAGUCCCCCACCCCGACCCUAAAACUUUGAAGUGGCUGGAAAGGCCUUUGUGGAAGAAGAGAGCUCUAGAGCAGUCCACCUUUAGGCUGGCUGAGGGCAUCAAUUACGCCGUGAUCCUCAGGGAAAUCAAGGGCAACGGCAGAACGUGGAGCAUGGGCUACAUGCCCCAGAAGCAGUUCCUGACCAAACCGACCUUCUUCCUGCAGAGCGAGGGCGGGACGGUGAAGGAUGUGUCCGGGGUCCUGAGACAGGAGCUGCGUUCAACAGUGAUGGGCCCCAAAGAGCUUCCUGCCAGGAAGUGCAUUGUGUAGGGGCCAGGGAAGAAGCGGGGGUCUGGGGCCACCGACAGGGUGAUCCAAGUGCCACCUCUGGACUCCCCAGAGAAGGAAAGCAAGGCUGGAGAUGGCAAGAAAGGCAAGGGGAAGCACAGAAAAACCGUUGACAGCACCACGCAUCUGACAAGGAGCUGUGAGGUGACCUGGGGUGGGCGUUGGGGGCGGCUGAGUGAGGUUGGGCGUCAGCUGAGUGGGUGUGGGUAGCAACUUGGGAAGGUGGGUACCCUCUGAGUAAAUUUGGGGAAUGUGAGUAGCGUGGAUGAUGCGGUGAGGAUGGGUAUCAUUCAAGAGAGUGGGUAACUUUUGAGUAAGAAUGGGUAACAUCUGACUAGUGUGAGUGAAGGUGGGUAUUUUUAUCUGAGUGAACUCGUGGGUGGCAUCUUAGCGGGUGCGGUUAACAUCUAGCUGAGUGGGGAUCACUGGUCCAUUCAUUCGUGUGCAUUGCACACCUACCAUGCCCCAGGAGCUGUUCCAGGAGCUGGGGAUAUAGAACUGAGCGUACCCAACACAAGGUUCUACCUUCACACCCCUCCUGCUGCUGCUGCUGCUGCUGCUAAGUCGCUUCAGUCGCGUCCGACUCUGUGUGACCCCAUAGAUGGCAGCCCACCAGGCUCCCCCAUCCUUGGGGUUCUCAGGCAAGAACACUGGAGUGGGUUGCCAUUUCCUUCUCCAAUGCAUGAAAGUGAAAAGUGAAAGUGAAGUCGCUCAGUUAUGUCCGACUCUUAGCGACCCCAUGGACUGCAGCCUACCAGGCUCCUCCAUCCAUGGGAUUUUCCAGGCAAGAAUACUGGAGUGGGAUGCCAUCACCUUCUCUUCACACCCCUGCUAGUGAGUGGUUAAUGUUUCAGUUACUUGGGAACCUCUGAGUGGGUGUGGGUACCAUGAGAACAGAUGUGGAUAAUAUCUGGUUGAGUAUGAAUCAUUCAUUCACUCAACAAAUGUUUCCUGGACACCUACAGUGUUGUUGUCCAGUCGCUAAGUCAUGUCCAACUCUUUGCAACCCCCUGGAUGGCAGUACACCAGGCUUCCCUGUCCUUUGCUAUCUCUCCGAAUUUGCUUAAACUCAUGUCCAUUGGUGAUGCCAUCCAACCAUCUCAUCCUCUAUCUCCCCCUUCUCCUCCUGCCCUCAAUCCUUCCAAGCACCAGGGUCUUUUCCAGUGAGUCAACUCUUCACAUUAGGUGACCAAAGUAUUGGAGCUUCAGCUUCAGCAUCAGUCUUUCCAAUGAAUAUUCAGGGUUGAUUUCCUUUAGGAAUGACUGGUUUGAAAUUCUUGCUGUCCAACGGACUCUCAAGAGUCUUCUGCAGCUCUGCAGUUUGAAAGCAUCGCCAGGCACUAUUCCAGGCACUUUGGAUACAUCAGGGAACAAAAGAGACCCAAAUCUUGCCCUCGCAGCAUUCAUAUUAAAUAUUUGAGUACACGUGGGUAACGUCUGAGUUGUUUGAAUAGUUGAAUACAUAUGAGCGAGCAUGGGUCACUUGAGUGUGUGGGUAGCAUCUCGAGUACGAGCGAGUACAUAAACUCGAAUGGGUAAUAUCUGAGUAGUUGUGCACAACAUUUGGGGCUUCCCUGGCGGCUCAGAAGGUGAAGAAUCUGCCUGCAAAUGUAGGAGACCUGAGUUCAUUCCCUGAGUCUGAAAGAUCUGGAAAAGGGAAUAGCUGUGGGAGUGAUACCUGAAUACGCACGCGGGUAUUAUUUGAGUGGAGUAAGGGUAACUUCUGAGCGAGGAUGAGUCCCAAAGAUCCACAGAGUGGAACAACCCGGAGAUGCCGGGGUACCAGCUGCGCAGUCGCAGUUGGAGCCUAGCAGCUGGUCCGAGGGUUGCUAUGGAGACUGUGGGCUGCUUCUGGCGCCUGCGUAAACAGGUAUUUUCGAGAAGUGGAAGAGGAAAUAGGGUCUGGAAUUCCAGGGUUUUGCAGAAGGUCUCUUACCAGAGUUGAGGAAGAGCCACGCAGGAAGAACGUUUCCGGGAGAUCCGUGCUUGGGAGCAAGGCCAAGAUCCCCUUUGCCAUUCAUGGCGGCCUGAUGUUGGGGACAAACCCUCUUGCUGGGUGGGUAUUUCGGGGAGGAGGCCCAGACCCCUUCAGCUUUGGGAUCUGCUGGAAAUCCGCCCAUUGCAAAGUCUAGAGCCAUUUUUUUUGUUUCGUUUUGUCUUUUAUAAGGAUUGGGCUUCCCUGAUAGCUCAGUUGGUGAAGAAUCUCCCUGCAAUGCGGGAGACCUGGGUUUAAUCCCUGGGUUGGGAAGAUCCCCUGGAGAAGUGAAAGGCUACCCACUCCAUUACAGAGCCUGCUGUAUAGUCCAUGGAGUCGCAAAGAGUCAGACACAACUGAGCAACUUUGUCUUUCACCUCUAAUAUACAUCUGGUAUAAGCUUGUCCACAAUGGGCCACUCUUUUGCACAAGGCAAGCAGAUACCAUGGCAGAGAAUGCGAGGUGCCUCCUUACCAGGUAUGGAAACCUCACUGCUCUGCGUGUGACUUGAAAAAAGCUGUCACUGUCUUCUACAGGCUGGGUCUCCCUUACAGGAUUGAUCAGUGGUGGGACCUCUGCUCUGAGUGGCGCUUGGGGUGAGGGUAUGCGUACGUCCUUAAGUCACUCAGUCCUGUCCGACUCUGCGACCCCAUGGACUGUAGCCCGCCAGACUCCUCUAUCCAUGGGAUUCUCCAGGCAAGAGUACUGAAGUGGAUUGCUGUGCCCAUCUCCAUGGGAUCUUCCCCACCCAGGAAUCGAACCCACGGCUCUUACGUCUCCUGCAUUGGCAGGGGGGUUCUUUACCACUAGCGCCACCUGGGAGAUCUGGGGUGAGGAUAUGGUUCUCCCCAAAUUAAAUCCCAGAAGCUCAACUUGUGCUCUACUCUCUAAAGAACAAAAGACGAGGCUUCCAGGGAAUGGUCCAAGACCAGCAAUGAUAGAGGUUACCUUCAAGAAUGAUCAAUUUACAAACUUCCCUGGGGGUCCAGUGGUUAAGACUCCACCCUCCCAUUACAGGAGGUAUGGGCUCGAUCCCUGGUUGGGGAACUAAGAUCGCACGUGCCUGCAUGGCAAAAAAACAACUACAACAUUAGUGGGUAGUCCCCAAGUCUAUAAGCUGAGUCCCCCGUAAUGGUGAGGGAAAACCACAAUGAAAAUCAAUCAAGCAAAAGGCAAGUGUCUGUGGAUAGACAGAGCUCCUGUCAGGACAUCUGACUUAGAAGUUUGCAAACUUCCAUUAGCUCAAAGGUCUUCGGAGAUGUGAGCUGAAUCUCCUUUUUAAAAUGCAGCUGGGGAAUCCGCCUGCCAGUGCAGGAGACACAGGGUGGAUCCGUGGUCUGGGAAGAUCCCGCAUGCCACGCAGAGCAGCUGGGCCUGCGUGCUCUGGGCCAGAGUAUUGAGCGAGUGCUCUAGAGCCCAGGGCCGCAACUGCUGAAGUCUGAGUGCCCGAGAGCCCGUGCUCCACAGCAAGAGAGGCCACCAUAAUGAGAGGCCCACACACUGUAGCUCGAGAGUAGCCCCCCUCUACAACUAGAGAAAAGCCCACACAGCGAUGAAGACCCAGCACAGCCACAGAUAAAUAAAUAAUGUUUAAAUGCAAUUUACAGAGACAGACUCAGAUCCUUACCUGCCAAACUGUAAUAGUGGAGACGGUGCCCUCCCCUGCCACUCAGUGUAUUAUGAUGGUGGGUGUCAGUCAUGUCUGUGAAUUCCAGCAUCCAAUCCCCUUUCUUAUUUCUGCAAGGCUACCUCCAUUUUUCCCCCCUCCCAGAGCCGAGAGGUGGAAGUCCUUUCCCCAUGCCCCCACCUUGGCAGCCAGGAUGCAGGCAAGCCACCCACCCUCAGGCAGUCAGAAACUCCUGUUAAGACCUUGCAUUUACAGCAGCUGUCAAGACAGAGGAAGUUUCAGAGUUCACUUGCUAUGAUGUGAUCCAAAGCCUGCAAGACUCUGAUUUCUGUCCAUUCCGCAAGCUGGCUGUCUACCAUCAGCCUCAGAAGCCUUUGUUUUGGUCAAUGGUUGGGAUAAAGCCAUUCCUGCCAUCCUCACAGGUAUAUUUGAACAACUUGCAAAAGCGUCCAUGGUCUAAAAGUUUGGAGCUCUCUACUGAUCUUUGUUGCUCAGUUUCAGGCAUGGCUUAGCAACUGAGCAUGAACAUCCAGUGCAAUCAUAGCCCAUUCUUCGAUGUGUUGGGGGGAUCCAAGGUAGCUUUAAUUUGGAGAAGCAAUCUGACUGCUUAAAAAAAAAAAAAAAUGCUUUGAAAACCGCUUCUGUGGGGUGCCCGAAGUUUUCCAGGGCUGCGUUGUUUUUAUCUUUAAAAUAAUGUCAUUUAUUUGUUUUUGCUGUGCUGGUCUCCGUUGCUGUGUGGGCUUUUCCCUAGCAGGGGCUGCUCUCCAGUUGCGGCCUGCAGGCUUCUCACUGUGGUGGCUUCUCCUGUUGCGGAGCACAGGCCGUAGGGCACGUGGGCUCAGUAGUUUCGGCUCCUGGGACCCACAGCACAGGCUCUACAGUUGCGGUGCAGGGGCUUCGCUGUUCCUGGGAUGUGGAAUCUUGCCGGGCCAGGGAUCGAACCUGUGUCUCCUGCAGUGGCAGGUGGAUUCUUUACCACUGAGCCUCCAAGGAAGCCCCCACACUGUUUUUGAAAAGGGGUGUUAUCAGAUCUCAUGGCCAGCAGAACACAAAACACACAGCUUUCUCCUGUCCCACGGGCUUCCAGUGGCUGAUGGGAAAGGUGAAAAAUUUCUCUUGAAUAAAAACAGUAACAGCUAUCCUGUGUUGCAGGCACUGGGCAGAGUCCUUCAUCCUCAUUAAUUUGUUGUAUCCUCCCAUCCCUUGAGCUAUGGGACUUACAGGUCCAUAUCUCCUGAUCCAAAACCUUGACACAACACAGAUAAAUAUCUCUGCAAGUGCAUAGUGGAGCUAACUCUGAAAUUCCUCUAACUGGUUUCCUCACUAGGCAGCCUGCCAGUUAAAGGAGCAUGUUUGGUGUGUGGAGGUUUGAAGGUGAGGAGUAUUGAACAGAUGGCCUAGGCUCAAGUCCUGGCUCCCCCACUUUGCAGAGCGUGAGCCUGGGCAAGCCACUUAACCCCCGGUGACUCGGCUUGCUUAUCUGUAAAAUGGGGAUAAUAGUAACCUAUUUCACCAGGUUUAUGGGAGGAGUAAAUUUGUUCAGAUGUGUAAAUGAUUUAGCAGUGACCGACAGGGGGAAGCUGUUCAGUGUGGGCCAUUGGGAUCCUGGGUCCAGUGUCGGUUGGCAUUUUGCGUUGACAAAGAACAAGUCAACCUGGUAUUAGAUCUCUGGUUCCGGAACUUGACAAAUAUGUACCAAGCUCCUUCAGGAGACAAUAUGUUCUCUGUGUGCUGACAAAAGGCUGCUUUGGAAUGUGGGAUGCCAAGGGGCAGGCUGGUGAAUCCACAAAGUUCUGACCUUCAAGAGACAGUAGUACCCAGCUGUGGCUGGCAUCAACAGAGCACACCAUAGAGGGAGAGGCAAAGGAUCCGGAGCUACACAGGCCUGGGUUCAACUCUUGGCUCUGCCACCUGUUUAGCUGUGUGCCUUCAGGGAGCUGACUUCACUGCUCUGGGCCUCAGUUUCUUUAUCUGUAAAGUGGGGCCACUGGUACCCAUGCUAUAGAUUCUUUGCAACCAGAGAUUAUACAACCUGCAGUGAAAACCAGAGGCUCUGAAAUAGUCAUAGCAGCUAUAAUCAUAAACCCUGAAGUAGGAAAUGGCAAC
ensembl:lncRNA